CCUACGGGUGGCAGCAGUGGGGAAUAUUGCACAAUGGGGGAAACUCUGAUCCAGCGACGCCGCGUGAAUGAAGAAGGACUUCGGAAUGUAAAGUUCUUUCUGCAGGGAAGAAAAUGAUGGCACCUGAUUAAGAAUCACCGGCUAAUAACGAGCCAGCAGCAGCGGCAAUACGACGGGGGCGACAGUUAUCAGGCUGAAUGGAGUGUAGAGGGGGGGUCGUAGGUUUAGCAAGUAAGUAGUGAAAGCAUGCGGCUCAAUUCAGGGAGUUGCUUUGAAACUGUGGAACUAGAUUGCAGGCGAGGUAAGUGGAAGGCCUAGUGUAGCGGUGAAAUGCGUAGAUAUUAGGAAGAACACCAGAGGCGAAGGCGGCUUACUGAACUGUAAAUGACGCUGAGGCUCGAAAGCGUGGGGAGCAAACAGGAUUAGAUACCCGGGUAGUC
rnacentral:rRNA from 1 species